UAAGAUGUAUGUGUUAUCUGUUGGCCUGUCAUUGUGACAGAACGUUCAUUACCCCACUGUCUACCUCCACUCCCCAAGAGCGAAUUCUGCACCUUGCUCUGGCAGUGUGCCUGGCAAUCCGCGCGCAGUGUGCACCAUACCAGUACAUUAAUGACAGCUGCUGGUCAAAAAGCAUUGGGAGCCGUCACGUGUCUCCACCUCUCUCUUCCUCAUCUCCAACUUCACUGGACCACUUAUGAGGCAGGUCCAUUAUGAAGCAGGUGACCCCUGACCUCUGAUGUGCCAUGCAAAUGCGGAGAACAUUUGCGGCGACACGUUAGUUACAGAACCGCAGUCUCCGUGAGCGCCACGAAGCUGAGCAGGAAGCAACAAGAUAAACAUGUGGCAAUUUUAAUAUAAACCAUAAAUUGAUAUACGACACGCUGGUGGACAAGUUGAGACUUGGGAAGAGAGGCAGAACUUUUGCUAAUGAGUCCCUUGAGACGUGGGACUCAGGACAAUGUUCACACGUUCCUCUUUUUUUUCCUGUAUUUUUUUCUGUACUGUAAUAAAUGAUUUCUUUUAAGGACAAGGAUAUUUUUUAAUGACCAGUGAUCGUCAGUGUUGGUUAUCAACACGACAGUCUGAAAUCAGCUGGGAGGUGUCUCAGUGAGGGAGUACGUAGAAGAGGAUGGUCUGUGGGCUCUUCUGGGUACUGUUCGAUGACACUGAAUGACAUGAGGAGAUAGACCCAGGCCACUGUGGCUGGUAUCAUCUCUUAGGGGUGGGUCCAAGAUGAUGAGCUGGACAGUCAGCGGGCACACCUUCCUUCCAUCUCCUGACUGUGGAUGUCACGUGACUUGUUGCUCUGAAGCAUCCGCCACCCUGAACUCCCUGGUAUGACGGACUAUAUCCCGGACCUGUGAGCCAGAAGAAACGCUCUGUCCCCUCAGCUGCUGUUUGCUGGGGUAUUUUUACCACAGGAGCGAAACUGGGGCAGUGACGAAAGGACAAGAGGGAGCAACCAACUGGUCUAGGCAGAAGACAUUUUCCUUCUCAGGAAAGCAGAUAUCUAUCCACUCUUAAGACUUGUGAGUGUAAAGCCAGGACUAGCCAAGGCUCGCCUGCAUAAGAAACCUCAGUGUGUUAUUCACAGCUGUGAUGUUGGCACAAGGUCCAGUGUUUAAAGGUAGAGCAUCUAGAAAUAAUUCACGACGGAGCUGAGACCGUGGAAAAGUCAAACUGAGGUGAGCUUUCCAAAAACUGGCAUUGAGAGCCUGUUCAUCCCUGUGGAAAGAAACCUGCAACCAGGCUCCACCUCCCCUCUUGACUCAGAGGUAGUGAUGCAUGGAUUAAAAACAGUACUAUGGAAGGUAAGAUGUCAGAAGGCCAUGUAUAGAAUGAAGAGAUAAAAAUAUUUUAAGGUAAUACUCAGUAUCUAUAAGUUGUAAUACUUAUGGUAGGUCAGCUCCUAUACUAAGCACUUUACGUGUAUUGCCACACUGAGUUUCAUAAGCAGCCCUGUGACAGAAGUACAGACCAUCCCCAGCACAUCGAGGACACCGAGGCAGUGCAGGCCAGGCGCUUGCUUGGUCAUUCAGUGCUAAGCUGGGAUCUCAACCCAUUCAAAAGAUUGAGCGGGCAUUUCAGCAGAGGAAAUGCCGCCCGUCCGUGAGCAUACAUGGUAGCUGCUUUCAUCGGGAAUCCAUGAAAUGCAUAUUAGAACUACAACCGUGUUCCGACUGUGGAUGCGGGAGACAGUGCGGGUGGAUAGAAUGUAUGCUGCACACGUGUGAGGACCCAAGCGCGAAAGCGCAGUACCCACAUAGAUGCAGGCUCCUGUGGUGGCCACCUGUAACCCCAGCACUAGGGAAGGCAGGGACAGAGAACUCUGGUAAGAAGCUGACUGCUCAAAUCAGGGAACCCAAGGUUCAGUGAGAGACUACACCUCAAAUAAAGCCAGAGUGCUGGAGGAAGAAACCCAGCAUCCACUUCAGGCCUCCAUAUACACAAGCAAGCAUACAUAAGUUAUUUACCUUCCAAUUGCACACAUACCUAGCAGGCAACAGGCAGCUUCCCGGUGUAAGAUAAUGGUUAGAACAUGGUCUCCGCUGUGCUACUCAACAGAGUAAUUCAGGAUUUCAGUAGUGCUAAGCUGAUACCUUCAUCUUCAUAACAGCCAAUUCAUGACGUCUUGGUCUUAAGUUUUG
rnacentral:lncRNA from 1 species